rnacentral:piRNA from 1 species
UAAAUAAGGGUGCCGCGGACCCCGCCUC